rnacentral:rRNA from 1 species
AUUGAACGCUGGCGGCAGGCCUAACACAUGCAAGUCGAACGAGUGGCGGACGGGUGAGUAAUGUCUGGGAAACUGCCCGAUGGAGGGGGAUAACUACUGGAAACGGUAGCUAAUACCGCAUACCAUCGGAUGUGCCCAGAUGGGAUUAGGUAGUAGGUGGGGUAAAGGCUCACCUAGGCGACGAUCUCUAGCUGGUCUGAGAGGAUGACCAGCCACACUGGAACUGGGACACGGUCCAUACUCCGACGGGAGGCAGCAGUGGGGAAUAUUGAGCAAUGGGCGCAAGCCUGAUGCAGCCAUGCCGCGUGUAUGAAGAAGGCCUUCGGGUUGUAAAGUACUUUCAGCGAGGAGGCGUUACUCGCAGAAGAAGCACCGGCUAACUCCGUGCCAGCAGCCGCGGUAAUAC